GUUGAACGCUGGCGGCAUGCUUUAUACAUGCCAGUCGAGCGGAAAGACGCGGCGCUUGCCUCUCUGGUGUUAGCCGCGGACGUGUGGCUUCGGCGUGGGUCCCCUCCCUAUAAGUCUCUGCUCACUACAGUAGCUAAUAGCUCAUACCAGCUAAUAUAUUAAACCGCGUGGCUCAAUAGUGCGCGCCGGUUUUGCUGUCGCUUUCAGAUUAAUCAGUGGCGGAUUAGCUAGUUGGUCAGGUAACGGCUCACCAAGGCAACGAUGUGUAGCCGGUCUGAGAGGAUGACCAGCCACACUGGAACUGAGACACGGUCCAGACUCCUACGGGAGGCAGCAGUGGGGAAUCUUGCGCAAUGGGCGAAAGCCUGACCGAGCAAUGCCGCGUGAAGGAUGAAGGUCUUCGGGUCGUAAAACGCUUUUAUAAGGGAAGAAAAAGUGUGUGAGAAACUAUGCACGUCAUGACGGUACCUAAACAGAAAGCCACGGCUAACUACGUG
rnacentral:rRNA from 1 species